AAGCCGUGUUUGUCAGGAACACCUGUAGCUGCCGCACCCGACCUCAGUCGGAUCGAUCGAUCUGCUGCCCCUCGCCCCGUCCUAACUCCAUAUAUAUACUCCCCACGUCCGGCUUGUCCGAUUUUUCGCCAAAAUCGCGGUCUCCCGUGCCCUAGGUUGAUUUCGCGAUCUCGCCGGAGUUCCACCGCUGCUGACCUCCGCCGUCAUCGUUUCCGUCGCCUACAGGGAGUACCGAACCGAGCGCAAGGACCUCGAUCCGAAGAUCACAGCCACCGCCCGAGCUCCAGCCACCCUCUGCCGUCAACCCCGUUCGCCACCGACGCCUCUGAGGACUUCUUCGAGACCGCAGCCGAGCUCCGCGCCCCAUACGCUACCCUCCGGAGUCUCGAGACCACCGGAGCAGGCGCCACCAUCGCCGCCCGAGCUGUCGCGCCGCUGUUUUGUCCAAGUCCGGCCGCCCCAGCCUCUGUUCCUCUCCGGAUUUUCAGAUGAUCAGUGAGAUACAGUAGGGUCGCGAGCCUUCACCCAACAUGUUCUCCAGUGGGCAUUGAUGGACUCGUCAUUUAUUAUGCUACCUUUCCGCUGUUAUUGUUGAAUAAAGUUAGCUAUGUGCUACUCAGUUUGUAAUACUUUAUGAAUUCUGGAUCACACGUUGUAGUAAAUGAUGCACUUGUUAUUUGAUAUUCAUA